UAGCGGCGGACGGGUCCAGUAACACGUGGAUAACCUACCUAUAAGACUGGGAUAACUUCGGGAAACCGGAGCUAAUACCGGAUAAUAUUUUGAACCGCAUGGUUCAAAAGUGAAAGACGGUCUUGCUGUCACUUAUAGAUGGAUCCGCGCUGCAUUAGCUAGUUGGUAAGGUAACGGCUUACCAAGGCAACGAUGCAUAGCCGACCUGAGAGGGUGAUCGGCCACACUGGAACUGAGACACGGUCCAGACUCCUACGGGAGGCAGCAGUAGGGAAUCUUCCGCAAUGGGCGAAAGCCUGACGGAGCAACGCCGCGUGAGUGAUGAAGGUCUUCGGAUCGUAAAACUCUGUUAUUAGGGAAGAACAUAUGUGUAAGUAACUGUGCACAUCUUGACGGUACCUAAUCAGAAAGCCACGGCUAACUACGUGCCAGCAGCCGCGGUAAUACGUAGGUGGCAAGCGUUAUCCGGAAUUAUUGGGCGUAAAGCGCGCGUAGGCGGUUUUUUAAGUCUGAUGUGAAAGCCCACGGCUCAACCGUGGAGGGUCAUUGGAAACUGGAAAACUUGAGUGCAGAAGAGGAAAGUGGAAUUCCAUGUGUAGCGGUGAAAUGCGCAGAGAUAUGGAGGAACACCAGUGGCGAAGGCGACUUUCUGGUCUGUAACUGACGCUGAUGUGCGAAAGCGUGGGGAUCAAACAGGAUUAGAUACCCUGGUAGUCCACGCCGUAAACGAUGAGUGCUAAGUGUUAGGGGGUUUCCGCCCCUUAGUGCUGCAGCUAACGCAUUAAGCACUCCGCCUGGGGAGUACGACCGCAAGGUUGAAACUCAAAGGAAUUGACGGGGACCCGCACAAGCGGUGGAGCAUGUGGUUUAAUUCGAAGCAACGCGAAGAACCUUACCAAAUCUUGACAUCCUUUGACAACUCUAGAGAUAGAGCCUUCCCCUUCGGGGGACAAAGUGACAGGUGGUGCAUGGUUGUCGUCAGCUCGUGUCGUGAGAUGUUGGGUUAAGUCCCGCAACGAGCGCAACCCUUAAGCUUAGUUGCCAUCAUUAAGUUGGGCACUCUAAGUUGACUGCCGGUGACAAACCGGAGGAAGGUGGGGAUGACGUCAAAUCAUCAUGCCCCUUAUGAUUUGGGCUACACACGUGCUACAAUGGACAAUACAAAGGGCAGCGAAACCGCGAGGUCAAGCAAAUCCCAUAAAGUUGUUCUCAGUUCGGAUUGUAGUCUG
rnacentral:rRNA from 1 species